GUUAUUGUGAAGAGCCGAUCUGAAAAUCCACUCUGCUGCAGGUGGUUGCUACGGAGACCCCUUGUGGAAGCCAUUGUCUCCAUGACUGACCAGGAGGCUAAACCUUCAAGUGGGGUCUUAGAGGAUGAGAAGAAAGAUGUUAUCAAAGUCAAAGUUAUCGGAGAAGAUAGAAGUGAGAUACACUUCAGACUGAAAAUGACAACCAAGCUCAAGAAACUCAAGGACUCAUACAGUCGAAGACAGGGUCUAUCAGUGAAUUCACUGAAGUUUCUCUUUGAAGGCCAGAGGAUUGCCGAUAACCAUACUGCAGAAGAGCUGGGGAUGGAGGAGGAAGAUGUGAUUGAAGUUUAUCAAGUACAAACGGGAGGUGGGGUGUCAUUCAACAGUUUAGGACGAUCUGAUUGAAAUUUAUCUGGAAAAAAUGGAAAUCAUUCAACAGUUUAGAUGUUCUUUGUAAUUUUUCUUUUCCCCAAUGCUGUUCUUUUUUAAUUGUUCUUUUGUAAUGUGGUGUUCAGAGUGAAAAUUGAACAUUGUCACUUCAUCUCUCUAGAACAUCUGGUAGUCUGAAUUCUAGUACUCGGUAUUCAUUAUUAUAAUGAUUUUGGUGAUCAGACCUCAGCUCCUUUCAUAAAUGCACCGUGAGGCUGCCCUUCUCAGGACCAGUUUGAGUAUUUCUUAUGCCAUUCAAUCAGUCAAGAAUUCCACCAUAUGGCUGCUUCAAACCUAGCUUGUAAUUUUCAGGGCAAGAUGAAAGUUUUCAGAGAACUGCAUCGUGGCAAGUGACCUUGUGUCAGAUGGAAGCUGCUUCUAAAGUCUGAGGGUCUGGUCCAAGAACAGAGUACCAAAUUUGGAGUGGUGAUGACAGACAUGGCCAGAGUCACAACUGACUGCCAAGACUGCACGCUGAAGAGAAAGCAUCUCAGGAUUGAAUUAAUCUUUUCAUGUAAGCCCAGAAUGUUCUAAUUUUCAUCAACAGUUAAUAAUAAAAUUAUUCAG